AGGACGAACGCUGGCGGCGUGCCUAAUACAUGCAAGGUCGAACGGUCUUUCUAAUGGAAGCUUGCUUCCGACUGAGAAGAUAGUGGCGGACGGGUGAGUAACACGUGGGUAACCUGCCCAUAAGAGGGGGAUAACAUCCGGAAACGGGUGCUAAUACCGCAUAGUUUUCUUGAUCGCAUGAUCGAGAAGGAAAGACGGCCUUUGUGCUGUCGCUUAUGGAUGGACCCGCGGCGUAUUAGUUAGUUGGUGAGGUAAUGGCUCACCAAGACGAUGAUAGGUAGCCGACCUGAGAGGGUGAUCGGCCACAUUGGGACUGAGACACGGCCCAAACUCCUACGGGAGGCAGCAGUAGGGAAUCUUCCGCAAUGGACGAAAGUCUGACGGAGCAACGCCGCGUGAGUGAAGAAAGGUUUUCGGAUCGUAAAACUCUGUUGUCAGAGAAGAACAAGUUGGAGAGUAACUGCUCCAGCCUUGACGGUAUCUGACCAGAAAGCCACGGCUAACUACGUGCCAGCCGCCGC
rnacentral:rRNA from 1 species